GACCAAGUUGCCCUUGGCCUACUAAAUACGACGACAAUCACAAUUGGCAACGAUGAUCAAGCAACCUUUAGCGCUGCUCCAGCAUCUGUCACAGAAGACACGGGCUUUCUUACAUUGAACGUUACAAAAAGUGGAAUUACAGACAUGGAUUUGUUUGUGAGAUUGGACACACAAGACAAGACUGCUGUAUCUCCUGAUGAUUUCGUUGCCAUAGUUAAUGAUACGUUAAAAUUUCCAAAAGAUGUGGCGUCGGUGUUAGUCAACGUAAGCAUCGUGGUUGAAGACAUCGUUGAGAAGGACGAAACUUUCAAAGCUCAUCUGUCCACUAAUAACCCGACACAAGUGAUAGUUUCAAGCCCGCAAACAAUAACCAUCGAAAAUGACGACGCAGGUAGGCUUUUGUCCGUCUGUGAGCUAUUGUUGACAUGUUUAUUUUUUCUUCGGACGUAAGUUAAAACAACCUUACCCCCAUUCAAAUCACCUUGCAUCGUUUUUAUCUGCGUGUCUCACCACACUGAUGUAAUGACGCCAAAUUUGCCUUAAUCGAAAUUAACCUUCAGCUUCAGUUUUGCCAUUAAUUUCAAUUUCUUUUUCUUGUUUGCGAUAGAUUACAGCUAUUGAUGAUAGGGGUCACACCAAAAGUCAUAGGCGCCCCUUUACUAACCUUUACCGCAUGCGUGAAAAGUACACACCAUAAUUUUGUUGCUCUUACGCAGUAAAACAUCAACUGAUGUGUAAUAUUGGCACGAAGAAGAAAUUUUCCUCGUUUGCGAAGCUCAACUCACGAAGCAAAAAUCGGACGAAUUAAUUCGUACUUUUAACUGCUUGACGUGCGAUAAUCAGCCUAGACGGUACUGAAAAAUAUAAGAAACGAACAUCAAUCUUUCAUACAGAAGACAUUACGCUUUCUCGUAUUGCCCUUUCUGAAUCGACUUCGAGGUAAUCAAGAUAUACAAAAUGUUUACAAGCCGAUAAUUGGAAUCGAGAUUGGGCUUUGUUUAUAUCCCAAGUUUACUGAGCUAAGCACAAUCUCUAUACAAUUGAACUGGAAUGGACUAAUGGAAAAUAAUAAAUUAAUGACAAUCUAUUCACAUAUCAGCACUAGUGUCCUGAGAAGUCGUUCUGACCUCUGUAACGCAAUACGUUCAAGUCCAGUUACUGUCGCUUGUGUUUCUCGUUCGAUAUCAAGCAUUUCAAAUCUGCACAAAGCCAUCAUAAAAGCCUUACCUUUAUCGUUAUGCCUUGUGAUCUUGUAUAACACCGAAAUGUGAAAGAAUUCACUGCGAAAAACGAUCGCUCCGGUACAUCAUCGCAAAUAGAGCGUAUGUCUAAGGCGACGCGCGCUUUUGUUGCCAGUCCCUUCAAUUGAGUCAUUUUACACAAUAUUUCACGCGUAAACUUGCGUAAAUCCCGGUCAGCUUUUUACACAAUCUUUACGCAGAACGCCAAGUUCCAUACAAUGUCCAUAAGUUUUAGGUCAUCUUUACAAAUAACGUAAAGGUACGUAAAUGUUUGACUAACUUUGCGCAAUCUUUACGCAGAAUGUAAAAUUGCGUAAAUGCCAUAAACUUUACGCUAUCUUUACAAAUUAUGUAAAGGAUCCUGUGUUCAUACCCAGAUAGGGCAUGGAAGGCUGGUAGGGCAGCAGUCUUGACGGGACCAAGAGCGCGGACUAUUGGCUGCAGCUUGAUUUGCCGGUGGUGCUCGCCCUUGCCAGUAAUAAACAAGGUGUUAGCGCAAAGGUCAGGAUACCUCCUAAGGGCAAGAAUGAACACAUCUGUAUCAGGAGAGUGGAUCCGUAUCUCAGUGGCUCCACAGGCUCUGGCGUCGAGUGCGUGCAGCAUGAUCUUCGUAUCAGCUUCGUAAGCUUUGCGAUGAGAGUUGAUGGUGUGAUGCGAUAGUGAAUAGGGACUUCACUCCCUGCCUCUUGACACGAGUAGCCUCUUUUACAGAUGACGGUAGAUCGUAUCGGUCGAAGAUAACUCGGAUCUCAUCAUUUCCAUGGUCGUACUUCUCCAUUAAGCGACUGUUGAAGUGAUCUGCGAGCUGUGAGCAGUUUCGGAUUUAUUCAGGCUUAUUUAUCCAAUGUCGGUAGUCGGCAAAUAUUUUUUUUUGUCGCUAGUUUUUUUUUUUUUCAUGUUUUGUCGGUACUCAGUUACUUUUUAAGCCGUUUGUCGCUAGUCGGUUAACCCCGUCCAGAAGCGACCUCUUAGCAAAACUUUGAUGCCAUUGGAAAACGUACACUUACGUCAAGGUGCGUCGCACUUUGAGAUAUGUUUAUGAAUGAAUUUCAAGAUUUUCGUUAUCGUCUUCCAUAGUCAUCUUGGAUAACUGAUAGUAUAUUUAAGAUUUAUUUUGAACUCUGGGGGACCCUUAAACCUUUUAUUUUCUAGACACCACUUGCUUACUGCGUUCGUCUUUUUUGAUUCAUGAUUUUACAUGCUUCCAAAAGAUGGAAUGAAGUUUUUUGUAGUUAAUGUAUUUUAAAAGCCUAUAAUAUUGACCUAAAAAUGUAAGAAACCGAGGACCCAAAAUACUACAAUUUUUCAAUACUGUAUUUUUAAUAAAAAUAAGGAACUAAAAGUUUACAUGUUCGGCCUAUGGCAUACUGUACCGUUGAAAUAAUUAAAACAGUUGUAAAUGAUUGCUGCAGUAACUAAAUGCAAGUUUAUUUAUUUAUUAUUAUAUUUUUUUUUGCAUGGAAUACAAGAACUACUGGUUUACAAGUUUGGUUCCACGUGUACAGGGCAGACUUGAAACUGAUGUGGCGGCGUAGUUUUUCAAGUCCUUUGUACGCCAUCCAGUACUUGGAUAUGGAGGGCGAUGGACUUAGGGAGGUGGUCGUUGUAACGGCCGCCUUGGCCUGGACCCUAAUUCAUCAACACGUGAUUAGUAUUUAGUGAUUAGCGUUAGUUAUCAGAUUGCAGUUUUGAGUACACCUCGGUUAGGGCCCGGUCGCAGUAGCAAGCUGUUCAGGACAUCUAUGUUUAGAUAAGCUCAAAAACUGACAGAUGUCCGUGACAUGUUACGAAGCCAAGUGCGACCUAUGUUUUUACGCAACACGACAAAUUCGCCGGGACAAAACAUCAAAGGAGCCGAUGUCCUGCCCCAAAACAGGACAUCUACCUGACAUCAGGGGCUCGUGAUCCACGGAUGUUGCAACCAGUCCCUGACAUCUCCUGAACAUCUUGCUAGUGCGACCGGGCCCUUAGCGUCAUGCAAUUAGAAUCAUGAUGUACAACUUCAAGCCUACAAGCGGGAAUGUUAUUUUACAAUAUCUUUAAUUUACACCCUGUGCAUGCGUGUUCUACCGCUACCAAGCUGCUAUCGUCCCUACAGCAGUUACAGUCGUGGCCUCUUUACUUGGCGUUCACAUUCUGCAGUUUAGAAACUGUUAUUUAUUCUAUGGGGUAAUACUUAUCACAAAAUUACACUAUCCAAGUUGAUUAAAUGGCUUUUUUUUACCAAAGAA